rnacentral:rRNA from 1 species
CCUACGGGUGGCAGCAGUGGGGAAUAUUGCGCAAUGGGCGAAAGCCUGACGCAGCGACGCCGCGUGAGGGAUGAAGGUCUUCGGAUCGUAAACCUCUGUCAGCAGGGAAGAACGGUCACUGUGCUAAUCAGCAGUGAAUUGACGGUACCUGCAAAGGAAGCACCGGCUAACUCCGUGCCAGCAGCCGCGGUAAUACGGAGGGUGCGAGCGUUAAUCGGAAUUACUGGGCGUAAAGCGCUCGUAGGCGGUAUGUCAAGUCAAGGGUGAAAUCCCCGCGCACAACGUGGGAACUGCCUUUGAAACGGGCAAACUUGAGUGGGUGAGAGGAAAGUGGAAUGCCAGGUGUAGGAGUGAAAUCCAUAGAUAUCUGGAGGAACAUCAGUGGCGAAGGCGACUAUCCGGCACAUAACUGACGCUGAGGAGCGAAAGCGUGGGUAGCAAACAGGAUUAGAUACCCCAGUAGUC